CCGGUAAACGGCGGCCGUAACUAUAACGGUCCUAAGGUAGCGAAAUUCCUUGUCGGGUAAGUUCCGACCUGCACGAAUGGCGUAAUGAUGGCCAGGCUGUCUCCACCCGAGACUCAGUGAAAUUGAACUCGCUGUGAAGAUGCAGUGUACCCGCGGCAAGACGGAAAGACCCCGUGAACCUUUACUAUAGCUUGACACUGAACAUUGAGCCUUGAUGUGUAGGAUAGGUGGGAGGCUU
rnacentral:rRNA from 1 species